UGGGGAAUUUUGCACAAUGGGGGAAACCCUGAUGCAGCGACGCCGCGUGAUUUAGAAGGCCUUCGGGUUGUAAAAAUCUUUUCUAUGGGAAGAAAAUGACAGUACCAUAGGAAUAAGGACCGGCUAAUUACGUGCCAGCAGCCGCGGUAAUACGUAAGGUCCGAGCGUUGUCCGGAAUCAUUGGGCGCAAAGGGUACGUAGGCGGGUAAGCAAGUUAGAAGUGAAAUCCUAUAGCUCAACUAUAGUAAGCUUUUAAAACUGCUCAUCUUGAGGUAUGGAGGGGAAAGUGGAAUUCCUAGUGUAGCGGUGAAAUGCGCAGAUAUUAGGAGGAAUACCGGUGGCGAAGGCGACUUUCUGGCCAUAACCUGACGCUGAGGUACGAAAGCGUGGGUAGCAAACAGG
rnacentral:rRNA from 1 species